GCUGUGUGCAUGUCUGACCCUGGGCGUGAGGAACACCAGCCAAGUCCUUCUGGCUGCGGUUAAAAGGGCUCACCAGCCUCUCCCUGAAGUCUUGGCCCGGGAGCCUGUGUCCUCCAGGUAGCUGUGCUGUGGGGAGCUGGAGAGGACUGAAGAGCUGAGGAGGCGAAAUGCAGAAAUGAUAAUGCCUCACAAGCUGGUUGUACAGAUUGAAUAACAAUGUGAACAGAGCACCGAGUAUAAUCCCUGAAACAGCAAACCAGAGGUCCCGUCUGGCUGGCAUGAAUGGAAGGGCAAACGCUCCGACCAAAUUGCUCUGGGAAUGUCAUUCUAAUUAUUGGAUCCUGACCCAGCAGCAUGCUGAUAAGCUCUGGGUUGGAGACGCCCUAUCUCAGAGGAGCUCCAAACCUGCUCAAGGCCUUUUCUUGCCCUCUGCAACUUUCCUGCCAAGCAAUUAGCCUCCAGGGGUAUCUGAGAGCGGGAGACUGGGAGGAGCGGGGUCCCUCGGGGUUGAAGUGGGGAGGGCUAACGGGCUGGGGAUGCCCCCUGUUGUGUUUCCAGGGAAAGCCUGUCCAGAUUGCCGUUGCCUUCUUUACCUUCAGUGUCAGAGUUGGGGUCCAGCCUGUAUUGUGGGGAGUAGGAAAAGCUUUUCUUGUUGAGCCCUGGGCUUCUGUUAGGGGUUGAAUUAUGUCCCUCCCCACACUCCACAUUCAUAUGUUGAAGCCCUAACCCCUAGUUCCUCAGAAUGUAACUGUAUUUGGAGAUACAGUCUUUAAAGAGGUCAUUACAUUAAAAUGAGGUCACUGGGGUGGGUCCUUAUCCAGUAAAACUGGUGUCCUUAGAAGAAGAGGAAAUUGGAACACGGACACGCACAGAGGAAAGACCAAGUGAAGAUACAGUGAGAAGAUGGCCAACGACAAGCCGAGGAACAGGGUCUCAGAGGACCCCAACCCUGCUGACACCUUGAUCUCGGGCUUUCAGCUUCCAGCACUGUGGCAAAAUUCAUUUCUACUGUUUAGGCCUCCCGGUCUGUGACAUGUUGUCACGGUGGCCACUGAAGACUCAGACAGCUUCCUUCUAGCUCUGGUUCUUCUACCGGUGUGCUUUCAGGUGCUCCGGAGGGCCCGGUGGCAGGGAAAGCCAGGUCUCCAGGCUCCUGGCCCAGGGCGUGUUUAGGAGGCAGGGCCUUCUCUGACACAAGUAUGAGGAGCAGAGAGGUUUCUCUUCUUCAGUCUCCACUAGGUCCUGGCCUCCAUGGCUUCUAUAGGCAGGGACCUGGCCAGGGCAUUCACCAGAGACUUUGACAGGGAGUCCAGGCCCAGACCCCAUAGGCAGAGCCAGGAGCCCUGUGCCAGCUUCCCAGGGAGCACCGGGGCCCAACGUAGAGUCAAGAGCUGGCAUCAGCACAGGUGCAAGGUGGGGUUGGGAAGGGCAUGGCAGCUUGGGGGUCUGCAGUGCACAGGUGGCCUGGCAUGAGGUAGGUGGGCCGGCUUGAAGGUCUAGAAGAUGGAUAGACACCAGAGACUUGUAGUCUAUGUCUCCUUCUUGCUGUCCCCUGGAUGUCACCUCCCCUCUGCCCCCAGUGCUGAACUAACCCCCUUCAUCUUUUACUUGGGACUCCAUCAGUGACUCAUCAUUGCUUUUGGUGUGACUUACCAGCGGCCGCUCCGUCUGCCUCUUCCUUCCCCUCCAGGGUCAUUUUGAACACUCUUCCUUCCUGACAACUAAACUUUUCACUGUUUCCCA
ensembl:lncRNA DRAIC downregulated RNA in cancer, inhibitor of cell invasion and migration